CGCACGCUCGCUCGCUCUCGCUCGCUCUCUCUCGCUCGCUCGCUCUCCCUUUCCCGUCUCUGUGGUUUGUAAGGUAGGUUGCAGUGUGUGUAUAUACACAACAUCAAGAGCAGGAAAAUGGACUCAUUAGGGAGGCAGGCAGUCAUUACCACUCACACUGUACUUCCAGGGAGACAGCGACUAUGAGGAGACAAACUGAGGACUGGGGAACAAGCAGCAUAAGAAAGAAGUGUUGAGAGCUGCUCUUAACCCUUUUGGAGUCCGAAGUCAAAAGGGAACUAGAGGGCUUGACACAUCCUUUACAUCCUGCGUUUACUCUGACCACGGUCCCUCCCUGUUCUCACAAGCGGAGCUCAGCCCUGCUUCCCUUCCUGUUGAUUCCCAGUCAGCUACAU